UACGGAGGGAGCAAGCGUUACUCGGAAUUAUUGGGCGUAAAGGGCGCGUAGGCGAUUUGAAAAGUCUUGUGUGAAAGCCCCGAGCUUAACUCGGGAAGUGCACAAGAAACUGUUGAAUUUGAGUUCCGGAGAGGAAGGCAGAAUUCCCAGUGUAGCGGUGAAAUGCGUAGAUAUCGGGAGGAAUACCAGUGGCGAAGGCGGCCUUCUGGACGGAUACUGACGCUGAGGCGCGAAAGCUAGGGGAGCAAACGGG
rnacentral:rRNA from 1 species